GGGCGGGGCCGCGGCGUGUCAGCGGCGGCGAGAAGCGCUCGUGCCGGGGCCCUUCGCCGCCGGGGCCCCUCGCCACCGCCGCCGCUCGGGGAGGGGAAGCGGAGGGGGUGCGAGGCUGAAGGCAACGGUUAACGGUCGCCGCCGCUCGCGCUGGGCGGGAGUCGAGUGCCUCAAGUCUCCACACACAGGAGAAGCUACCGCAACGCAGGAAAGCCACGUUCAGUCUCUGAAGAGCCAUGCACUACUUCCAUAUCUUGUGUCAUCCAUGAGCUUCAUGAGCAUGUGGACCAUCUCACUGCACAUCUUUUACAAAUGGAACAUGAUCCAUGAUCCUUAGUUGACAGGAUGGCUCUUCAUCCCAUCCCCUUACGAUUCUGGCUCCUGACCUCUGGCUUUGGAAUUUGACUCCUGACGCUGAUCAUGGCUCUUGAUUCCUUGUUUCAGUUCAACUGGACGCUCUCGGUAUUUCAUAGAAGUCAGCAGAACAUUAAAACCAGGAGUACUUGGAGUACAUUCAAGAAGAAAGAUUGGGUGUUGAUUUGAGUACAUUUGACUGCAGAGUAAUUAAAGGCCAAUAAAUAGGAGAGGAGAAAGGGCAGAUGAUCAUCAAAAGAAAUAGGACAGGAAAGACUCGUUAGUUAUUUGGCAACUAUCUAACGACGCAUGUCUUCCAUUUAAGGUAUCAAGCCGUUUGAUCAUGGGGUGCAUGAGCACAUCUGGAUGCCAAUCACCAACAGUGUGCAGAUGCCUGAAUAAGAUACACUUCAGAAAAUAACGCAACUGCUUCCUGCAGUGUGAAUAUUCACUUACGGUGACACAAACGUGCAGCAUUAAAACUCACCUUCUCUGUAUUCAAUGUUUACCCACCUCGUAAAGUUUAUAAGCACAAUUACUACCCUUUCAUCUAUCCCCAAGAACCAGUCAGUUGUAUUGAGAGGAUGCAAAUUUUCUCCUCUCCUGCUCCCUUUUCUGUCUCAUUCCAGACAAAACAUCUUGCUUUAAGGAAUUAUAUUAUUUUUUUCCCCUUAGUAUUAAUUCAUUUUUAAGGUCUGUUUCUAAAGAGCAAUAAUUUAUUUGUUUGCCUAGAAAAAAGAGCCCAACCAGUAUUUAGUUUGUAUGAAAGGGAGAUUUUGUAAAGCUGUAUGAUUAUGAAUUGAUACAACCCAAGAACGGAACUUAAAGAACAAAACUGUUCUUAUUGGGCCAGUUUCAGUAUUUUACCAGAGCUUAAAAAAAAUGUAAUCUACUUUUAGGAAACCUAUUAAGAAGAAAAAACACACCAUCCUACUUACUAGAUCUAGUUCCACCAAGCAAAAGGCAUUUUUUAAGUGUCAAGAGAUAGUACCAUAUGACUUCCAUGUCCCAAAAAGCUAUCGCAAGUAUAAUCGUUUUUGUAGAUCCCCAGAAAAAAAACCCACAAUGUGAUUUAUCUUCCAGAGCCUCCAACCUUGAGAUAGCAAAAAACUUUAUACUUUGUUUACUACGCUCCAAUCCUGCCUUGAAGUUAUGACAUAGCUAUUAUCUACAGAUGAUUUUUACUGCACAGGUUCUUUCCAAGUACUCUAAUCAAUGGCACUUGUCAGAAUUGGUCAAAUUUCCAACAGAAAAUGCUUUCAUUAUAACAACACAAGCUCAAUUAUACUGAUUUGACUUUGUAAGCAAAAUCAUCCCACUUUCUGAACUUAAUCCACUGAUUUCAAAUUAGAUACUUCAAAAAUAUUAUUUGGUUAGAAAAGUGAUGAUCCACUACAAUUACAAGGUAAAGACUUUUUGAAAAUGCCAGACUUUUCCCACAAUCAAAAUAAUGAAUUUUAGUGUGUGCUGGUUUAGGCGGAGUUAUAACACAGAGUUAAUGUUCUUCACAGUAGCCAGUAUGGGGCUGUGUUUUGGAUUUGUGCUGAAAACAGUGUUGAUAACUCAGGGAUGUUGCAGUCACUGCUGAGCAGUGCUCACACAGAGCCAAGGCCUUUGCUGCUUCUCGCCCCACCCCACCAACGAGGAGGCUGGGGGUGCACAAGGAGUUGGGAGAGGACACAGCCAGGACAGCUGACCCCAACUGACCACAGGGAUAUUCCAUACCGUAUGACAUCAUGAUCAGCAUAUGAAGCUGGGGGAAGAAGGAAGGGGGGGAUGUUUGGAGAGAUGGCGUUUGUCUUCCCAAGUCACCAUUACACAUGAUGGAGCCCUGCUGUCCUGGAGAUGGCUGAACACCUGCCUGACCAUGGGAAGUGGGGAAUGAAUUCCUUGUUUUGCUUUGCUUUACCUAUUAAACUGUCUGUAUCUCAACCCACCAGUUUUCUCACUUUCACUUUUCCGAUUCUCUCCCUCAUUCCUCCAUGGGCUGCUGGCUUAGCUGCUGGCUGGGGUUAAACCAUGACAUAGUGACCAUAAAGUUUCAACUUCAGAGUCUUUCAGGCUAGUCUUUUUUCCCCCCUCUCUAACAGACAUAAUGAUUAGUUAACUUUAAUUUCAUGUGACACAAAACUUCCAAGUGUCUGUUCUUGUUUUCUUUCCAUGCUGAACAUAAGCAAACAUUUAUUGACAAACCAGCAUUUCCCCGCAGAUCAUAUUACUACAGAUUUAUGCAAUCCUACUGCUCAAGUAAU